AACUAACGCUGGCGGCGUGCCUAACACAUGCAAGUCGUACGAGAAAGCCGGCUUCGGCUGGUGAGUAAAGUGGCGCACGGGUGAGUAACGCGUGGAUAAUCUGCCCUUAAGUGUGGAAUAACGUACCGAAAGGUGCGCUAAUACCGCAUAAUGCCUGGCAACACAAGUUGUCCGGCCAAAGAAGGCCUCUGUUUACAAGCUUUCGCUUCAGGAUGAGUCCGCGUACCAUUAGCUUGUUGGUGGGGUAAUGGCCUACCAAGGCUGCGAUGGUUAGCUGGUCUGAGAGGAUGAUCAGCCACACUGGAACUGAGACACGGUCCAGACUCCUACGGGAGGCAGCAGUGAGGAAUAUUGCGCAAUGGGGCGAACCCUGACGCAGCAACGCCGCGUGAGUGAGGAAGGUUUUCGGACUGUAAAGCUCUGUCGAGCGGGAAGAAGUGUACCAUGGCUAAUAUCCAUGAUAUUUGACGGUACCGCUAGAGG
rnacentral:rRNA from 1 species